GGAUUGGCCACAUCCUAUAUUAAAUUACCCAGCUCUGGAUUUUUACCUGUGAUGCUUAAUAAUUAUGUGCCAGAGCAAGAAUAAAUGUUAAAAAGAAGUGUGUGGUUUAACUUUCUUUUAUAACUGAUUGCCAUUUAUUUUUGUCAUAGUAGUAUAACCUUUAAGUAACUUUUCCUGAGUAGCCACUAUGUGCCAGGCAAAAACAUGGGAGACAUAGGUAUGUUUAAGCUUUCAGGGUGCCUAGUAUGUGUGAGAGGUGGCAGCCAACAGAUUAAAUUGAGAACAUAUAUGAGAAAUUUAAUUGUGUCUGGUACACAGUAUAUGCUUAUUAAAAAAUUAGAAACCUGC
rnacentral:lncRNA from 10 species